rnacentral:rRNA from 1 species
AUUGAACGCUGGCGGCAUGCUUUACACAUGCAAGUCGAACGGUAACAGGCCGCGAGGUGCUGACGAGUGGCGAACGGGUGCGUAAUGCAUCGGAACGUGCCCAGUCGUGGGGGAUAACUACUCGAAAGAGUAGCUAAUACCGCAUACGAUCUAUGGAUGACAGCGGGGGACCGUAAGGCCUCGCGCGAUUUGAGCGGCCGAUGUCAGAUUAGGUAGUUGGUGGGGUAAAGGCUCACCAAGCCAACGAUCUGUGGCUGGUCUGAGAGGGCGACCAGCCACACUGGAACUGAGACACGGCCCAGACUCCUACGGGAGGCAGCAGUGGGGAAUUUUGGACAAUGGGCGCAAGCCUGAUCCAGCAAUGCCGCGUGCAGGAAGAAGGCCUUCGGGUUGUAAACUGCUUUUGUACGGAACGAAACGGCUCUGGUUAAUACCCGGGGCUAAUGACGGUACCGUAAGAAUAAGCACCGGCUAACUACGUG